ACUUCUCUCAGCUGGUUCAGAGAAGCCUGUCUUUGCAGUGGAUAGCAGGGAGUGCAGAGACUCAUAGCUGGUCCAAGUGCUGAGGAGGAGAGGCUGAGAACUCAAUCCUGAAUGGGAUAUGUUUGCAAACAUCUCCACCCUCAUUUCCUGCCAAGGCACAGGGAUCGCCACAGAAGAGGAAGAAGAAAGAACCAAAGAGCUGGAGGAUCAGAAGGAACGAAGUGAAAUUCUGCCUUUUGGACAUAACAUGGCCAUUGCACUCAGCAAUUCCCAAUGGCUAUGAUUACCUGUACAAUGUCUAUAUAAGAUCAAGUCAGCCCAAGCCACAAAGGAGGCAGAUUCCUGUAUGUCACUCUCAGGGCCCUCUUCGUCACUUAGGUUCUUGAAAGCUAAGGAAACACAGACUGCAGGAUCUUCAGAUUUCUGUGAGCUCAACUUUUAAGUGAGAAGACAUGUCAAAAGGACUGACAAAACUCUAAACCAGUGCUAGCAUCCUCCUGACCAACCUGAGACACAAGCAAUCAUCACAGCGCUAUCUGCAUAAUUUCACGUUUAAUAUCACAAUAGGCCACUUGGUGGUUUCAGGUGGACCUUGAAGAUUUGCAUUCGCUCACAUCCCCCUGAUGCUCCCUAUCAAGCUGGUCUGAACACUUUUCACGUCUGCCGUGAUUUUCCUUCCUCUGGGUAAUGCUCUGUAUGGCCUGGCUUUCUGUUUCUGCCAUUGCGUCCUCAUCUUAGAACAAUAGUCAAGCAGAGAGAGACAAAGUGAAUAGGAGCAUCACUAAGCAAAGGCCGGGAAGAACUGGAUCAAGGACGGCCAUCUCAACACUUCAUCUAACACCAAACAGAAACAACUGAGAGUGCAACACUUGAGGGAUGAAUCAGGCUGCAUCUAUCCAUGAAAACAUCGCAGAGCCACUAAACAUAUCAAGCAGGCUCUUGUAAUAUGACCUGAAGUAUAACCACCCUGAAUACUCAUAAGACAUUAAGUAGGCACCAGGUAUUUUGGGGAGAAUUUCAUUUGUAAACUCAAGUGAUUUCCCCAAUAAUCAUGAGAUGGAUAUUUUGUUUUGUUUUGUUUUGUUUU